rnacentral:rRNA from 1 species
AUCUUACCGGGUCCGGACAUACCGAGGAUUGACAGACUGUUAACUGCAACACAAGCUGCUAAGUUUUAAACUUAAUAGCUCUUUCAUGAUUAUAUGAUAGGUGGUGCAUGGCCGUUCUUAGUUCGUGGAGUGAUCUGUCUGCUUAAUUGCGUUUCAAAAUUUAAACCUGAGCGACAAGGUGCUGCUAUCGAAACUGUCUUUGAGUGUGAACUAUAAGUCUUUUGACUUAUGACCAUCACUCUAGACGUUUAUGUUUUGGUGUUGGCCCUUGAUGCUCAUUUGAACGCAACGGACGUGAUUGCAACCCCUUGUUGAGAUUUAUCCGAUCUCUACGUUCACUGAACCACACUCUUUAGCGAGAGCAGUGGGGAUGUGGAUAAACUCGGGGGACUGCUGACUAUAAACUUUUCUCAAACCAGAGGAAGGUUGCGGCAAUAACAGGUCUGUGAUGCCCUCAGAUGUUCCGGGCUGCACACGUGCUACAUUUAGUAGCGCAGUGUGCACAUUAAUAGAGUGAUAGGUUCCGUGGUUUGUACAUUUUAAGGGCUCGUCCUAGUAACCAAAGCUCCACGGGACAUAUCAACCUUCCCCUUACAGGGCGGGUAACCUCUUCGAAGUGCUGGCAUGAUUUCCCUAGUUUUGGCAUUUGAAUCCUUGUCGCAGCAGCCCUGAGACGUAGUGAACGCUGCAAAGUGAUUCCAGUCUUAGGUUUGCGACACAUGCAAUUCCUGGUUGACUCAUCGUGGGGACUGAUUCUUGUAAUUAUUUUUCACGGUUCAACCAGGAAUGCCUUGUACCGGCGGCUCAUUAAACCGCUGGGAA